rnacentral:rRNA from 1 species
GGAAUUUGUAGCAAUGAAUUUUUUUGAACAAAAUACCAAAUAUAUUAUAUGCAUGUGACAACAAAUAAUGUACUAAUGCAGAAAUGUCAUGUAUGAAUUCUCAUCACAUCAAAUGAUGUUUCGACCAUUUAGAAAAAAAAAAUCAAGCCACCUAAAAAGGUAAAUAAUAACAGCUUAUAACCACCUAAAAAUGAUAAUUAAUAACAACUUAACCUUUUGGGUAUACCUGUGGUUAGGUUGAAAGGUUUCAAUUUCGUAAAAUCAUCUAAACCAAUAAGAUGUUCACAAAAGUCAUUACAAUCUUGGCCGUAUUUACAUAUCACACAUAUUACAGAUUUUUUUGAAUUAUAUAACAAUAAAAUGAGUAUCUUACAUUUGUCGAUCUUCUGUACAUGCAUGAGAAGAAUUUGGCGGUAACUAAAUGUUCUUUCUGAAGUACGAUCCGAAAGCUCCAAACUUGAAUGUUUCGGAUAGACAUGACCUAGAGCCCUCAAAUGAGAAAUAAAAAAAAAUCAGUGUACCAAGUUUUUUCUCCACCUCGAAUUCAGUUUGAAUACUCCUGAAAAUAUUAGAUGGAUACCAUAUGAAACAAAAAUAAUAAUAAAAUGCUACCGGUUUCUGUUUUUUUUUUGGAGAAAAGGGAUCACACUUGAAACCAAAACUUUGCUAACUUAGCGAUUUGUGUCUUCUUAAUUUUUUUAAUUGUUACUCCUUAUGCCUGCUAUGAUAUGGCACUUCAAAUUAAAAACUGCAGUUCGCGCUUUGCUGACAAAUAAAUAAAUAAUAAUGCUUCGAGAUAAAAUAAUCAAAUGGGUUGGGCUGUGUGAAGUAAGUAACCAUCAGAAGUUAAUAGAGACCGAUCCGUAGAGAAGGAUAAGGAUAAGACGUACAUACAGUAGUAGUGGGAAGGAUAAGAAGGAGUCGCUCAUUGUUCUGCUGUGGCGCAGGUGGCCGGAUCAGCAUGCACCGGCGGCUGUGCAGCCGAUGUGGAGGUAGCCCAUGUUGGCGGCGGCUAGUUGCUGGAUAGCAGCACCGUCCAGAUUCUUGAGGUCAUCCUCUCGUCGCAGAUCUGCAGCCCUGCGCCCCUGCCCGACGCCGCACCAGUGGCUGGUCUGAUUCCGGUGGAACCGACCAGAACCAAUCUCCCCAACGGCGUCGGAGCUCCCUUGGCCAGAAUAGAGUCAGAGACGAAAGGUAAGGACCAUGUCUCCACGGCAGUCAUCUCGACUAAACACACGGGGAUAUGGGAGAUUGUAGGAAAAAAUGACUUGAAGAUCAGAGAAAUGAAUCUGGUACAGAGAGAGGGAGGGAAAGGUCACUGCACAGGGAGCACCCAUCUGUCCCCAACCAAACCUCGCAAUCUUCGCUACUCCGUCGCUUCGCUCAAGCAUAGCCGCUCAUACCAUGGAAGAGAGAUAUUUGUAGAGCGGGGGAGAAGAAGGAUCGUGAAGGGGAAGAGAUUGGGCGGGGGAUAGGAAUGGCCAUGAGGACGCGGAUGGCCCGGCGGAGGAGUAGUGGGGAGUCGAGGAUAAGAGGCGAUGCGUCAUCGGUUAUAGAACAACAGGAACACGUCGACGGGCGGAA